GUUUGUCAGUCAUUGUCAUGAUUUAAUUUUAUGGAUAUUGUAAGGUAAAUUGUAAGGAAUUUAAUUUUAUCAAUAAAUAAUUAAGUAUGAUAGCAAAUUUUAUUCAAGGUUUAUUUUAAUUAGGACUUAGAACUUUAAGAAAGUUUAUUAAGUUAAUUUUAGGGAACAUUGUGGAUGAAAGAAGAUGUAGUGUCGAGGAUUGAGAAAGGUAUGUUGAGAUGGUUUGGACAUACAGAGAGGAUGAACGAAAGGAGAUAGACGAAACAAGUACCCGAGUGUGGAUGGGAGAUUGGAAGGGGUCGACCUCAGUGAACAUACCUCAAUCAGAUUGAGGAUGUUUUUAGCAAAGGCCAGCUUAGGAGUAGCCUAAUUAAGUUAGUAACAAUGUACCUACCUAUAUAGUUUAAGUU